UACGUAGGUGGCAAGCGUUGUCCGGAUUUACUGGGCGUAAAGAGCACGCAGGCGGUCGGCCAAGUCGAGUGUGAAAGCCCCCGGCUCAACUGGGGAGGGUCACUCGAUACUGGUCGACUCGAAGGCGGGAGAGGGUAGUGGAAUUCCCGGUGUAGUGGUGAAAUGCGUAGAUAUCGGGAGGAACACCAGUGGCGAAGGCGACUACCUGGCCCGUUCUUGACGCUCAUGUGCGAAAGCUAGGGGAGCAAACGGG
rnacentral:rRNA from 1 species